GCUCGUAGAGUUUGACCUGGCUCAGCCACUUCUGUGGGGAUUCCUGGCGAACGAGGUGAGUAACACGUGGGCAAUCUGCCCUGCACUCUGGGACAAGCCCUGGAAACGGGGUCUAAUACCGGAUACGAGUCUCCAAGGCAUCUUGGGGACUGUAAAGCUCCGGCGGUGCAGGAUGAGCCCGCGGCCUAUCAGCUUGUUGGUGAGGUAGUGGCUCACCAAGGCGACGACGGGUAGCCGGCCUGAGAGGGCGACCGGCCACACUGGGACUGAGACACGGCCCAGACUCCUACGGGAGGCAGCAGUGGGGAAUAUUGCACAAUGGGCGAAAGCCUGAUGCAGCGACGCCGCGUGAGGGAUGACGGCCUUCGGGUUGUAAACCUCUUUCAGCAGGGAAGAAGCGAAAGUGACGGUACCUGCAGAAGAAGCGCCGGCUAACUACGUGCCAGCAGCCGCGGUAAUACGUAGGGCGCAAGCGUUGUCCGGAAUUAUUGGGCGUAAAGAGCUCGUAGGCGGCUUGUCACGUCGGUUGUGAAAGCCCGGGGCUUAACCCCGGGUCUGCAGUCGAUACGGGCAGGCUAGAGUUCGGUAGGGGAGAUCGGAAUUCCUGGUGUAGCGGUGAAAUGCGCAGAUAUCAGGAGGAACACCGGUGGCGAAGGCGGAUCUCUGGGCCGAUACUGACGCUGAGGAGCGAAAGCGUGGGGAGCGAACAGGGAUAGAUACCCUGGUAGUCCACGCCGUAAACGGUGGGCACUAGGUGUGGGCGACUUUCACGUCUUCCGUGCCGCAGCUAACGCCAUUAAAUGCCCCGCCUGGGAGUACGGCCGCAAGGCUAAAACUCAAAAGAAUU
rnacentral:rRNA from 1 species